rnacentral:rRNA from 1 species
UACGUAGGUGGCAAGCGUUGUCCGGAUUUAUUGGGUUUAAAGGGUGCGUAGGCGGCUUUGUAAGUCAGUGGUGAAAUAUGGCAGCUCAACUGUCAAGGUGCCAUUGAUACUGCAGAGCUUGAGUACAGAUGAGGUAGGCGGAAUUGACGGUGUAGCGGUGAAAUGCUUAGAUAUCGUCAAGAACACCGAUAGUGAAGACAGCUUACCAAGCUUCAACUGACGCUGAGGCACGAAAGUGUGGGGAUCAAACAGG